rnacentral:rRNA from 1 species
UACGAAGGGGGCUAGCGUUGUUCGGAAUCACUGGGCGUAAAGCGCACGUAGGCGGCAUUGCAGGUCGGAUGUGAAAUCCCUCGGCUCAACCAAGGAAGUGCAUCCGAAACUGCUGUGCUUGAGUACUUAAGAGGAUCGCGGAAUUCCCGGUGUAGAGGUGAAAUUCGUAGAUAUCGGGAGGAACACCAGUGGCGAAGGCGGCGAUCUGGGAAGAUACUGACGCUGAGGUGCGAAAGCGUGGGGAGCAAACAGG